UGUCAGCACUCCACUUUAUGCUCUUCUUUCUCUCAGCACCUGUGUUCUGUUCCCAGCAGGUGCAGAGGAAGCUGAACUCCACUGGGGACAGCUCUUCAGUUCUCAGGGUACAUACAUCAGAGCCCAUGUUUUCCAAAGAGAUUUUUACUUACAUCUUGAAGGUGCCCUGCUGCUUUAGAUGUGAUCUCUUAGAUGUGCUGUCUAUGCCUCUAGCUGUGCCUGGUACAAAUAGCACACGUUCUGACCUCUGAAGCCACGCUUUCCAGGCUAGACCACGAAUCACACCAGGAGAAGGAAAAGAGACCUAAGGGAAUUCAAAGAGAACAAGGGCUGGAAAAAAGAGGUGAGAUUCUGGAGACAUCUCUACCUGGGUUGAAGACACUGCUAAGAAGAAGUCAGGAAAUGAAACACUUGAAACCAAGGCAAGUUGAAUUAAUGGAUGCCACCCAUACUGCAAUACGUACCUACUAAUAUAUUGAAUCCUGGAAAAAUGUGGUCUUCUCACUAAGCUAACUCUAACUUAGUGUUGUUCUGAAAACCCACUAGGUUUGUAGGAGGCCAGGAAAAAGGUAAGAGAAGAGACAAAGUCAAUUCGUAUUCCAAAUUCUCAUAAUUCUGAAAAAUGUUUCCAAAUCUGGUUAUUGGAGGAGGAACUUGAAUCCUCAAGGGAUGGCCGUGGAAAAUACCCAGCAGAGAAAAUGGGGGCCCUUUUCUGUGCAGUCUCUGGGCCUGCUUUACCAUCACCCCACUUGUGUGGCUGCAUGAGUGGAAUAUUUUUUCUUCCACUACAGCAACUUUGGAAGACCUCAGCAAAUACAAGUCCAAACCAAAGCCUAAAGGAGGUGGGGAUAUUAGAAGCAGGAUGAGAAAAAGAAACGGUGCAUUUUCAUCCAAACCACACGUGCCAGACCAUCUCCUGCAGCUCAUCAGCAAAUAAACAAAGCCACAUCCUGUUUAGUAUUCCA
rnacentral:lncRNA from 1 species